CUUUGGACAAUGGUAGGAGAGCGUUCUAAGGGCGUUGAAGCAUGAUCGUAAGGACAUGUGGAGCGCUUAGAAGUGAGAAUGCCGGUGUGAGUAGCGAAAGACGGGUGAGAAUCCCGUCCACCGAUUGACUAAGGUUUCCAGAGGAAGGCUCGUCCGCUCUGGGUUAGUCGGGUCCUAAGCUGAGGCCGACAGGCGUAGGCGAUGGAUAACAGGUUGAUAUUCCUGUACCACCUAUAAUCGUUUUAAUCGAUGGGGGGACGCAGUAGGAUAGGCGAAGCGUGCGAUUGGAUUGCACGUCUAAGCAGUAAGGCUGAGUAUUAGGCAAAUCCGGUACUCGUUAAGGCUGAGCUGUGAUGGGGAGAAGACAUUGUG
rnacentral:rRNA from 1 species